rnacentral:lncRNA from 1 species
GCCGUGGUCGCCGAGGUUGACGACGAAGGCGCCCUCGAGGGGCUGCACGGUGAUCCAGGUCCGGCCGCCGUCGCGCGUGGCCUGGAGGCCGCCGACGAGGUCCUGCAGCAGCAGCGUGAUGGUGCCGGGGUCGGUGUGGCGCUUGAGACCCAGCGUGAGGUCAGGCUGCGGGCACUUGGGGUAGAAGUUGACUACCACCUUCUGGUCCAUGUCCACGCAGGCCUUGGCGAGCGCGUCCGUCUCGAGGCCCAUGGCCUCGGAGAGCACGCCCAGGAGCUUGCACGCCAGCCCCAUCAGCUGCUCGCUGUACCGCUCCACAACUGCCCGCCACGCCGCCGGCUUGUCCGGCCACCGCGAGUAGUCGCGGGACUUCACCGGGUACGAGAAGUAGGUCACGAUCUCACGCCAGUCCUGCACGGCCUCCCCCUGCAGAACCACACGUGUGUAUUGUGUUCGUCUAUCUUUUUUUUAUUUAUUAAAAAAAAAAUCAGUAUAUGCCUGGAGGUGGCUGGAGACGAUGAAGCCGCCCUUCUUGCCGCCGGACAUGUCGAACCGGAGCUUGUCCUCGGCCGGGAGCGCGAAGAAGUCGCGCGCGAGGCGCGCCAUCUCGGCGACCAGCGCGGCGUCCACGCCGUGGUCCACCACCUGGAAGAUGCCCCAGUCCUCGCAGGCCGCGGCGACUCGCGCACGGAUCUCGGCCCGCCGCGCGCCUCCGCCGUCGAUGCCCUCGAGCGACACCACCGGCACUUCGUCGCUGAAGCGGUCGUGCGGCACUUUGGGGCGCUCGUCCUCGUCACGCACGAACGACGCGCGCAGCGUCGACUCCCCCGCCGCCGCCGUCGGGAGGAACGGGACCGCGCCGAUGCUCACCGGGGCCAGCAUGUGGCCUGCUCUCUGUCUGCGUCCUCCUCCUCCUCCUCGUGCUGCGCCGCUCGGAUCGUGAUGCUGCCGUGGGAGUGGGACGUGCCGCUGCUGCUGUGCUCUAUACCAAGGCCUGGUCAGUGUUAGCGUUAUAUAGCAGCAUGGCGUGGAGACGCGAGACACGCAGUUGCACUGGCCCCGCCACGUAAGCUCGGUGGUGGCUGGCUAGCUACUGGCUACUGUUGGCUGGCUACUGGCUGCUGCUGCAAGUCGUAGCUGACAGUACAUCCGCGCGACCCAGGCACAAAACUGAACGUUCUUUUUUAAUUAUUUCAACUACAAAAAACUGUACACAACAGUACUUCACUAUUUUAUCGAGUACUAGUUAUGUAUCCUUUCUAUUUGUUGUAUGGCAAGUGUGCUGCCUAACUCUCAGUCUCAACCGCCGACUCUUGACGGGCGCGCGCGUGUACGUACGUGUAGCUAGCUACCGUUCCACGCCUCGUGCGCGGUCCAAUUAAUAGACAUGUUAGCGGAGUAUGAAGACGUUGUGCCUGAGCGCGCGUACGUGGUAGACCAGUCCGGGAACGCAUCUGCACGCAACGCAUGAUAGGUCGUCGUCGCGGGGUUCUGACUUCGGGGGUGCCGGUUUGGUUUCAAAAACCGGUAGAAUUCAUUCAUUGACAAGCACUGCCGAACAGCUACACAUGACUGUUAGAACUGGAUAUUCGGUUUAAACCGAAUGUUCGGUUCGAUUUAUGAAAACUUUGGUUUUCACUAAUUAGAAACAGUUCGAUUUAAUUUAGAACUAGAAACCGAUAGCUUCAAUUUUAGUUCUUUACAAUUCGGGUUUUAGUUAAAAAUUGAGUAGACCAAAGUGAUUUGCAUAACAGACACCUCUAACACACAACACAUUAACAGACUGUUGUUAGAUCGGCUCACAUCCGCCACCGCCCAUCACACACUAGCUAGGCCACAUCGCCCCCCUCCACCGGUCCACCCCAUCGUUCGCAUGCCGCACACUAGGCCGCGCCUCGACCCCGCUCGCCGUUUGCACCACGCAUGGCCGCACUAGAGGACGCCGUCUAACCGACUCGAUCACCUUGUCGCCUGCAGGCGGCUUAGCUCAAAGCGGCAAGCGCGGAUUCUGGCUAGCUUUCACUCCCAUGCGCCAUUGCCAGAUGGAGAUGGAGAUGGAGAUGGAGAUGGAGACGGGGUCACGGGAUGAGGAGCUCAAAGUAGCGCAGUUGCCAGUUGUGCUCUAUAACUAGUGACUCUGUGGAACGGUGGGAGUGGGUUGUGCCGCGUAAUUGGGCUGAGGUGGGCUACCACUCUGUGCUGCGUGGAAGCGGAGGGGAUUAACCGUCGCUAAGCAGACAACUUAUUUUUUUGUUCAGUGGCCCGACUCUAUCGGUUUGAACGGUUCUUUGUCGGUUCGGUGUUGAGUAGAAACCAAAACUAGAGCCUGUAACCAAAACUCCUAGAAUAAAAAAACUAAAAUCGUAUCGAAAAAACCGACAGUUUGUUUGGCUCGGAUACUGUUUGACUUUCGGUUUUGGUCUAAGGGCAUGUUUGAACGGUGGCUGCACUAUGUCACACCGCGCUGCACUUUGGGCAGUCGUUUGCUUCAGUGUCGCAGUUGUGGUAUGAUGCAGCGGCACGAUGCUCCACUAGUUCAAUUUUGCUGCCCAACCUUGUCAUGCGGCAGCAAAUUUCAAUGCUCACUUUCGGCGUGGAGACAGAUGUGAUACGACGUACUGAGACGGCGUCCAAACGCGCCCCAAAUUAGCCCAACUGACAUGCAGACGGUUAGGUCACUAUGCUUGCUAGUUCUUGCAUGCAGUUUAGGAAGUAGUCAUUUGCUCAGUGAAGCCCACAACUGCUAGAUCAGAGUAAAAAUUGCAGGAACAGAGGAAGAACAGUCACACGGAUAUGCUUGCCAAAAACCAAAUCAUCCGUCUACCCAUACAAGUACACAAGCAAACGAAGCUUUGGAGGCCUACUUGCCUGAGCCCCUUAUGCACGCAAGGAGCUCGAACCAGAGAUUGCAGACAUAUAGGCUCUCGUGUAUUAAAAGAAACAAAGCUUUUACAUAUGGGUCAUCCGUCCAUGUAUAUAUCUGGAACUGCAGAUCCGAUAAUUAAUACAUAUGAAAUACAUUUCCAAAGAAAAAGAAAGAAAUGCAUAGUUUUCUCGCAGGCACAGUAGCAGGAGCAGGCGCUGCCUUAGUUUCAGUCUCCACACAUUAUUUCGCAGCGCUUAACUUAAUCGCCACACGCUCGUAUAUAGCAAUGUUCUUAGUUAUAAAUGAAAUCACACGCGACGAUAUAAAACCGUGGAUCAAUGGAUCAGUCGCCUUAUCAGGCAAGAAUGUCGUCGAGAGGCUUGGCGUUCGGCACGGCGAAUUCCUUGGCAGUCGGCACGGCGAACUCCUUGGCAAUCUUCUGCUGCUUCUCAGCCUUGGCCUGCUUCUUGAGCUUGGCGAGCUCGAUGUCGCGUGCCAUCUUGCGGCGGUACAUCUCGGCGAAGGUGAUGGGAUCGUCCAGUAUGGGCGCCUCCCCCUCCCGCACGGCCAGCGGGUACACCGUCGCGUCGGGUGCCGGGUUCUGGAACGUGGCGAUGGACAGGCGGCUGCACUCCGAGUUCACCACCGCCUGGUGAUCCGCAUUCUUGAACCUGCCGUUGCUCAGGAGCUGCACACGUUCGUCAUAUAAAUGUGUAAGCGCCAGCUUGCAGUUCAUCACACAUUGCCGAAACAGACGAACGAACGGAGACUACUCACGUGGCCGUGGUCGCCGAGGUUGACGACGAAGGCGCCUUCGACGGGCUGCACGGUGAUCCAGGUCCGGCCGCCGUCGCGCGUGGCCUGGAGGCCGCCGACGAGGUCCUGCAGCAGCAGCGUGAUGGUGCCGGGGUCGGUGUGGCGCUUGAGACCCAGCGUGAGGUCAGGCUGCGGGCACUUGGGGUAGAAGUUGACUACCACCUUCUGGUCCAUGUCCACGCAGGCCUUAGCCAGCGCGUCAGUCUCGAGGCCCAUGGCCUCG